UCAACGAAAACAUUUAUCCAGUCUUUUCAAAAGAAAAAAGGAAAACAGAAAGAGAUUUUAACAGGAUUCUUGGCAUUUUAUAGGAAUUUCAUAGGUUUUCCAUGGGAAUCCGGGGGUAUUAAAUCAACGAAUCAAGCUCA
ensembl:ncRNA K07E12.5 ncRNA